rnacentral:rRNA from 1 species
UACGGAGGGUGCAAGCGUUAUCCGGAUUCACUGGGUUUAAAGGGUGCGUAGGUGGGCUAGUAAGUCCGUGGUGAAAUCUCUGAGCUUAACUCAGAAACUGCCGUGGAUACUAUUAGUCUUGAAUCUCGUGGAGGUAAGCGGAAUAUGUCAUGUAGCGGUGAAAUGCUUAGAUAUGACAUAUAACACCAAUUGCGAAGGCAGCUGGCUACGCGAAUAUUGACACUGAUGCACGAAAGCGUGGGGAUCAAACAGG